UACGGAGGGGGCUAGCGUUGUUCGGAAUUAUUGGGCGUAAAGCGCACGUAGGCGGCUUGGCAAGUCGGAUGUGAAAGCCCUCGGCUCAACCAAGGAAGUGCAUCCGAAACUGCUGAGCUUGAGUACUUAAGAGGAUCGCGGAAUUCCUGGUGUAGCGGUGAAAUGCGCAGAUAUCCGGAGGAACACCGGUGGCGAAGGCGGCUUCCUGGACCGACACUGACGCUGAGGCGCGAAAGCUAGGGGAGCAAACGGG
rnacentral:rRNA from 1 species